UACGGAGGGGGCUAGCGUUGUCCGGAAUCAUUGGGCGUAAAGAGCGUGUAGGCGGCCCGGUAAGUCCGCUGUGAAAGUCGGGGGCUCAACCCUCGAAUGCCGGUGGAUACUGUCGGGCUAGAGUGCGGAAGAGGCGAGUGGAAUUCCUGGUGUAGCGGUGAAAUGCGCAGAUAUCAGGAGGAACACCGAUUGCGAAGGCAGCUCGCUGGGACGUCACUGACGCUGAGACGCGAAAGCGUGGGGAGCAAACAGG
rnacentral:rRNA from 1 species